rnacentral:rRNA from 1 species
AUGGGGUCGGCGGAGACGUCCGCCAACACUCAGCGGGUUGACCCCGCCGCCGACCUCCGGGAGGCGACGGAGCGAAACGCGCGGGAGAAGCGCUACGAGGAGGAGGCCGACCUCCUGGAGAAGGCGGAGGCUGAGAAGGCGGCGGCCUCUGCCCAGAAAAAAUUGGAAGAGGCCGAAGCCGCCGUUGCAGCAAGGCGGCAAGCCGAGGAGGCCGCACGCCGCCAGUCGGUGUUGUUCGUCACCCCGCUGUCCUCUGCGCCGCCGCCCCUGGAGUUCACGGGACAGACUGGAGAAGCCGGCGCCGAGAACACCGUCGUGGAGAAGGAAAGCGGCAAGGCCUCCAUGUCGGACACGCUAGUGCCGCCACCGCCGCCUCCGCCGCCGUCUGGGAGCGCGCGUGGAGAACAGCCGGCGGGCCCGCCUGCCGCCGACUGCGGACAAGUCUGA